CAGGGAUGUAGCUCUUGGAGGGAGAGGCUGGCCUUUGGGUGGAGCUGGGAUCAUGACAAGAGAUACAAUUGCAUAAAUGUUUCGAGGCUGAAGUCUCUGAAAGCCCCAGAUCAGCCACGAAGACCAGAAGCCGUCUUUUAAAAAAAAAUGCAAGAAGAAAUUCUCAUGUACUCCCAGGAUUCCAGGAAUUGGAGCUUCAGAGAAACAGCCGCUGUUGUAAGAAUGUGUAAGGCACAGAACGGACCCUUAGAAUGAACUGAUGGAGCCCAGCAGCAUCACUGCAAUCCACAAAAGGGGGAAGGAUUCUAUAGAAAUGAGCAACUGGUCAGCCAGUGUGGGUGGAAAUUCAUUGCAGUAUUGGAGGCUUGCGCAAGCAUGAAGGGGAGUGAGGAGGUGGACAGGGUGUCGCUAGGCUGGCCUUGUUCUGGGGUGCAUCACCUGUGCUUUAGAUCUGUGACUAGCCAUAAUGGAAAGGCAUGCUCUGCUGGUUGUUUCUCAUGUGUAUUUGCAUCACAGGGCUGGUGCAUCCUUCUUGCAACUCACAGCUAGAAUGGAGCCAGGAUCAGAGCUGCACCUGCCAUGUCAUGUCUCUUAGAAGCACAUGCAGAAAGCAAAGCUUCCUGCUUGCUGUGAGAGCCACUGGCAGUCUGUAGAUAUCAGUUCCCGUUAGUUCUAGAUGCAGGGUUGGACUCUCUUUUUGUCCUCUCUGCUGAUGUGUCUAGAUGGGGCUCUGGCAUAGCGAAUACAAGCAGCUUUAGGUGCCAUUGGGAUUAAAAUAGAACAGCUCAGAGCAAACCUGUCUUGCCUGUGCAUCAGACAGAGCUUCAGUGACUGUGAACUGUGCAAAUGCUACUGGGGGCAAGCUUAGACAAGCCACUUUUGACAUGACUGCUGUGCAUUGCAUCAGCUUCAGCCCUGGGCUCACUCUUCUGGGUCACAAAGAGGAUCUUCUGUAGCUCAGACACUUGUUUUGAGGGGCAAUUUCAAACAUUGCUCAUUUGGGGCUGUGUUUUGUAAGGCUGGGAACUCCUGGGAUCUGAUUUAGUAAGGCACCAAUGCAGUAGGGCACCUUCUACACUUCUGAGCAUUCCUCAUGACUUAAGAGGACAAGCAUAGGUUGAUAAGCUUUCCCAGAUGGGCAAACCCAUCAGGCCAUUUCUUUCUGGGUGUGCUGGGUAUGAACUAUAUAUGGGGACACCAUCGCAGUGAGCCCUUAGCAGCAGAACCCAUCGGCAGGGGCCUAGACUAGAGCGGUUCUGUUUCCUUGUGGCCAUGCCUGGCUUUCUUAGGUGAGCUCUGGGUUGUAUGUAACUCUGGGACUGGUAGAAAUUUCUUUCUGCAUCUUUAAGUAUCCAGGGGCCUGUUUGAUUGUGGGAGCAUCUGCCAACAUCAUGGAAAUGGAGAAGUGAUUUUGGCAAACAGAAAGUUAUCUUUGAAGGACAAUGGAGGAUAGAAGUGAGUGGUCAAGGGACAGGGCCCAGUGGAAUUGCAGCAAAAAGUCAGUUCGCUCUAAUCAAAUGCCCAAGAAAGCAUUUGAAUGAUUACGAACAGUAAGACGUUGGUGCACAGGGAAGAUGCUCAUGCUUGUUCAAAUAAACCUGACAAAGUUGAAUCAAAUGCUCUUUAAACAGCUCCCUGGUAUAAAAGCAUAGCACAUGUAGCCCAGUAGGGCAAGAUGCACACCCUGUACUCUCCUUCCUGGAGCCUUUCCCUCUGUCCUGUCUUGCUUUUGUUGUUUCCCUGAUUCUACUAUAAAAAAGAAGUGGGGAGUCAAUGGGUUGCUCUGUGCACAUGGAGAAGUACGGCAAACCCUCCUCCUGAGUCAGGCAGGAGCAAUCUGAUUCCUUCACCCCACUCCACCCUAGGGAAAGGUUUGGUGGUGCUGUUCUUGCUCAUAUGGUUGUUUUACUUGUCUUUGUUCUACUCUGCUGGCCAAGUCCAGUUUGCCUUUCCAUGGAGGCAGGGACAGCUGCAGAACUGGCUGCAAUCCACUCUUUGUGCUGCACGAAUUCUGGCAUUUGGAAGCAGAUGGCUAAAAUCAACAGCAGGGAAU